rnacentral:rRNA from 1 species
AUGUGCUGGCGGUCGUGUCGGGGGUAUUCAACGGGCACUAUUCUGCUUGUGGGUAGGACAUGUACAUUAGUACAUAUAUACAGUGUGUGGGUAGAUUUUAGCAGAAUAAUGGGGAUAUCUGAUGCGCUGUUGCCAGGGGACGACUACUGUGUUCUUCCAAUCUCCAUGGUUGUGGUAUGCAUGCAUUCGAAGGAGAUCAACAGCUCAAGGUGUUAUAUAUUACUGUGGUAUAUAUGUGUUCAGAGAAUAAUUCCUUGUGUACAGAAUAAUGGCCAUGUAAUCAAGGCACAUUACAAAAUGCAUAAACUAAUAGUCUAUAGGUCAAAGAUGAGAACAUUUUAA